CACAUUUGAAAGUUGAAACAAAUAAUAUUCUCUUUUUCUUUUCUUUUCAAGUAACAAUGCAGGGCUUAUGGCUACUCCAUUCAUGCUUUCCCAAGACAAUAUUGAAUUGCAGUUUGCAACCAAUCAUUUAGGCCAUUUUCUGUUGACAAACCUUUUAUUAGAGACUAU